rnacentral:tRNA from 3 species
UACCCCCGACCGGAUUCGAACCGGCGCUACCGCCUUGAGAGGGCGGCGUGCUAGGCCGCUACACAACGGGGGC